rnacentral:pre_miRNA from 1 species
ACAACAUUCGGACCGUCGGUCUACCGAGCAAUUCCUGCUGGUGGAAGAUCUUUCCCUUCGUCGC